UCCGGUAUGGUGUAGUGGCUAACAUUUGACGCUCUCACUUGCUUAGCAUUUUCGAGGUUCCGUCAAGCCCAGGGUUCGAUUCCCUGUACCGGAG
rnacentral:tRNA from 1 species